rnacentral:rRNA from 1 species
GAUGAACGCUGGCGGCGUGCCUAAUACAUGCAAGUCGAGCGAACAGACGAGGAGCUUGCUCCUCUGACGUUAGCGGCGGACGGGUGAGUAACACGUGGAUAACCUCCCUAUCAGACUGGGAUAACUUCGGGAAACCGGAGCUAAUACCGGAUAAUAUAUUGAACCGCAUGGUUCAAUAGUGAAAGACGGUUUUGCUGUCACUUAUAGAUGGAUCCGCGCCGCAUUAGCUAGUUGGUAAGGUAACGGCUUACCAAGGCAACGAGGCGUAGCCGACCUGAGAGGGUGAGCGGCCACACUGGAACUGAGACACGGUCCAGACGCCUACGGGAGGCAGCAGUAGGGAAUCUUCCGCAAUGGGCGAAAGCCUGACGGAGCAACGCCGCGUGAGUGAUGAAGGUCUUCGGAUCUUAAAACUCUGUUAUUAGGGAAGAACAAAUGUGUAAGUAACUAUGCACGUCUUGACGGUACCUAAUCAGAAAGCCCCGGCUAACUACGUG